GAAAAGAAAGACAUCGAUAGCCGAAUCGCGAUGAAACGUUCGCGGAUGAAACCACGCAAGUCACGAUCAACAGGAUCGUAAAGAAACGGCCACUGCACCGAAGAA